UGAAUAGCUGACAUUAAAUUCCUUUCCAAUAUUGUUUGAAUAAUUCGUGUUUGUAUCCCUUGCUUGGUGUAUCAAUUUUCUACCGCGAAACCGCUGGUCGAAGAGACACAGAGAGAAUGCGAACCAGAAGCAAAUCGAAGCUCCCGAAUUCACCAGAUGAACACGAAGCAACCAAGGGCGACCGCACUGAUGAUAAUGAGACUCUCCCUAAUAUUUCUAGAGAUGCUGUGGGAAAACUUUUGAAAAGGGUUAAGAAAGGGUUUAGCAAAGAAGAUGUUGGUUAUCUGCGUCACUGUGAGCCAGUUUCACCGAUGGAGAGAGGAUCAGAGGAGUUUGAGAGAGGGCUUAUCGGUACAACUGGUGGAGAUGAUACACCUCAGCCUGAAUCUCGCGGUAGUGAAGCAAUGGAGUGUGUAUCUGACCAUCAAACAGACAAUGAGGAUUAUGGUUCUGAAUGGGAAGAUGGUUCGCUUCAUUCAUUUCCAGAGGAUUUAGUGAAUGGAGUUUCUGUUGAGUUUGAUGUUUUGCCUGGGUCAGCAAAGCGGAAGCUUAUCCGGCGAGCCACUGCAGAAGAAAAGGAAGUCGCUGAGCUUGUGCACAAAGCUCAUUUGCUUUGCCUACUGGGAAGGGGAAGGUUGAUUGAUAGUGCUUGUAAUAACCCUCUCAUUCAAGCUUCCCUUCUUUCUCUUGUUCCAAAACAUUUAUUGAAGGUAGCAGAUGCGCCAAAUCUUACUGCUAGAUGUUUGUCCCCCCUUGUCGAUUGGGUCCACAACAAUUUCCGUGUUAGAAGCACAACUUUGGAUGAAAAAUCAUGUGAUUUAGCGAUGACAUCUACGUUGGAAAGCCAAGAGGGGACACCAGAAGUGGUUACAGCGUUAUCCGUGGCACUUUUUAGGGCUCUGAAUCUGACCACUAGGUUUGUCUCCAUUUUGGACGUGGUCUCCUUGAAGCAUGGUGCUGACAAAUCAGAGCAUCAGUUGGAAUUUGGUAGCAAGAUAGAGAGAAAUGUAUUUAACUCUGCAACUCCAAUGGUUACUGGACCCAGCAAUUCUUCUGCUUCUACUGUCAAAUCAUCUCCUGAUGUUGGGCCGAGCUGCAGUCAGACUGCUGGGAGAGGUUCUGGCAGGCGGAAGGCUAAUAAAUCAAGAAAGGAUGGAAUCCAACCUCAAGAUGCUUCAAGUACCGAUAAGCCUAAAGAGAAUAUGUCAGAGUUGUCAGUAUCUGAGACCACAACUGAUACUUCUGAACAGUGCCCCGUGAAAUAUGAGAAAUUGAAAAGGAAAGGAGAUCUGGAAUUUGAGAUGCAGCUGAAAAUGGCUCUUGCAGCUACAGCAAUUGGAAGUUCUGCCAGUGGUGCUGAGGCGUCUACUGUGGUAGAACCAUCCAGCACAUCUGCGAUUCUCACCCCGCCUUCUAAAAGGAUGAAAAAAUUUAUAAAAGAUGAACCUGAAACAUCCUCGGGUGGAAUAUCUACAGCUAUUGGAUCGAAAAAGGUGGGAGCCCCACUUUAUUGGGCGGAAGUUUUCUGCAGUGGAGAAAACUUGACAGGGAAAUGGGUGCAUGUUGAUGCCAUCAAUGCAGUUAUAGAUGGAGAGGAUAAAGUAGAAGCUACAGCUGCUGCAUGCAGAAAAUCUUUGAGAUAUGUGAUUGCUUUUGCUGGAAAUGGUGCUAAGGAUGUGACCCGCAGAUAUUGCACAAAAUGGUACAAGGUAGCAUCUCGCAGAAUCAGCUCAACCUGGUGGGAUGCAGUAUUGGCACCUUUAAAGGAGUUGGAGUCAGCAGCUACUGCUGGUAUCAGCAAUUUGGAAUCUGAAGCCUCAGGGCUUGAGAAGGUCGAGUCUUCUCGAGUAGCAAAUGCAGAUCAUGGAAGCCUACCUCAUGCAAACGGAAUAGUUGGAGCAUCCAGAGAGCUAUGUGCCAUAAAAGUUGCAAAGUCGCCUAUGAAGAACAAAUGUCCUACUAACCGGAGCUCCCUAGAAGACAUGGAACUAGAAACUAGAGCACUUACCGAACCCCUUCCUACCAAUCAACAAGCUUACAGAACUCAUCCCUUGUAUGUGAUUCAAAGAUGGCUUAAGAAGCAUGAAAUUUUACACCCCAAGAGGCCUGUCUUGGGGUUUAUUUCUGGCCAUGCUGUAUAUCCACGCGCUUGUGUCCAAACUCUUCAUACUAAGGACAGAUGGCUGCGCGAAGCACUGCAAGUGAAGACUGGUGAAGUUCCUGCUAAGGUACUUAAUCGCUCUUUAAAGUCUAUCAAAGAAGAAGCUCUGGAUGAUAAUAACUAUGCAUCUGUGGAUCAUCUAGAGACUACUACCGCUCUUUAUGGGAAGUGGCAGACUGAACCACUGUGUAUUCCUCGAGCUGUUAAUGGGAUUGUGCCAAAGAAUGAGCGUGGUCGCGUGGAUGUCUGGUCUGAGAAAUGCCUCCCACCGGGUACAGUCCAUCUGCGCUUGCCAAGGGUGGCGCAGGUUGCAAAAAGGCUAGAUGUUGACUAUGCUUCUGCUAUGGUUGGAUUCGAGUUCAGAAAUGGCAGGUGUGUUCCUUCAUUCGAGGGUAUCGUGGUUUGUGAGGAGUUUAAGGAUGCUGUUCUAGCGGCAUAUGUAGAAGAAGAAGAGAGAAGAGAGGCCAAUGAGAAGAAAAGGAAAGAGGCACAAGCGCUAUCGAGGUGGUAUCAGCUUCUUUCCUCCAUCAUUACGAGACAGAGAUUGAACACUCUCUACGGAGAUGGAGGAGCAUCAUCGCAGUCCAUCAAUGAGAUCCCAGAACCGAGUGAUAAAUGCCCUAAAACAACUACAGCUAAAGCUACCCAGAAAAGGAAGGCAUCUCCAUUACGACAAGUGAAGACACCCAAGGAGAAACACGAUGUUUCACCCCUGACACCCACAGAAGACCACGAGCACGAGUUUGUAGUGGACGAGCAGGCAACCAGCGAUGGUCUGAUACAAAUAAAACGAUGCCAUUGUGGGUUCUUAUUACAGUUUGAGGAGUUGUAGAAAGUUGUUGGCCUCGUGCAAUUUUUCACUGAACAUGGUCGCUAAGUUGUAACAGCUGCAACCAUAUCGCAAUCAAGAGAAGAGAACCAAUCAUCACAGUAAUUACAUGAAAAGAUAAAGAAGUUGAUGAAUUUUGCAACCUCUAAUCAGAUUCAAGAAAGAACAAUUCCAAGACAUU